rnacentral:rRNA from 1 species
AGUGAACGCUGGCGGUAGGCCUAACACAUGCAAGUCGAACGGCAGCACAGUAAGAGCUUGCUCUUACGGGUGGCGAGUGGCGUACGGGUGAGGAAUACAUCGGAAUCUACUUUUUCGUGGGGGAUAACGUAGGGAAACUUACGCUAAUACCGCAUACGACCUACGGGUGAAAGCAGGGGAUCUUCGGACCUUGCGCGAUUGAAUGAGCCGAUGUCGGAUUAGCUAGUUGGCGGGGUAAAGGCCCACCAAGGCGACGAUCCGUAGCUGGUCUGAGAGGAUGAUCAGCCACACUGGAACUGAGACACGGACCAGACUACUAAGGGAGGCAGCAGUGGGGAAUAUUGGACAAUGGGCGCAAGCCUGAUCCAGCCAUACCGCGUGUGUGAAGAAGGCCUUCGGGUUGUAAAGCCCUUUUGUUGGGAAAGAAAAGCAGCAGGUUAAUACCCAGCUGUUCUGACGGUACCCAAAGAAUAAGCACCGGCUAACUUCGUG